rnacentral:lncRNA from 1 species
AAAAACCCAAAAUGUUUCUCUAUUUUGUCUCAGGAUAAUUAUACUGCCAAUUUUUUUGUUGACUCCAUCUUUGUACCCCUCCAGAAACAACAGUUCUAAAGCCAGAGGAGGUGGAUGUACCCCCACAGAAUGCCUUUAGAAGUGACUUCUCUCCAAAAGAGUAUUGUCUGGGGGUAUGCUGAGAACAUCAGGACUCUACAUAAUGGAAAAAGAAAAGAACUCUCUAAUGAACACUUACUAUGAGGAGUCUUCAGAAAGUUCAGAGAGAGUGGUUGUUAUGGGAUGGACAUUUGGCACAAAAGAAAGAGUCCCAGUCCUGAGGAGGAACACAGCAUCUCUUCAACACUGACUGCUCCUCUUAAUAUGUGGUCUACCUAAAAAUAUAAAUACUCAAUAAAAUGUAUAGUUUGCCCCA